AGGCAGCAGUAAGGAAUAUUGGACAAUGGUCGCAAGACUGAUCCAGCCAUGCCGCGUGAAGGAUGACGGCCCUAUGGGUUGUAAACUUCUUCUGUAUGGGAAAAAACCCCUCUACGUGUAGAGGGCUGAUUGUACCAUAAGAAUAAGGAUCGGCUAACUCCGUGCCAGCAGCCGCGGUAAUACGGAGGAUCCAAGCGUUAUCCGGAUUCAUUGGGUUUAAAGGGUGCGUAGGCGGAAUGAUAAGUCAGAGGUGAAAUCUCUUCGCUUAACGAAGAAACUGCCAUUGAUACUGUCAAUCUUGAGUACAUUUGAUGUGGGCGGAAUGUGUCAUGUAGCGGUGAAAUGCUUAGAUAUGACACAGAACACCGAUGGCGAAAGCAGCUCACAAAACUGUAACUGACGCUGAGGCACGAAAGCGUGGGUAUCAAACAGGAUUAGAUACCCUGGUAG
rnacentral:rRNA from 1 species